rnacentral:tRNA from 5 species
GGGUCUGUAGCUCAGUUGGUCAGAGCAGGGGACUCAUAAUCCCUUGGUCGUAGGUUCAAGUCCUACCAGACCCACCA